CGCCCGUCGCUCCUACCGAUUGGGUGUGCUGGUGAAGUGUUCGGAUUGGCAGAAACCGGUGGCAACAUCGGUUACUGCCGAGAAGUUCAUUAAACCCUCCCACCUAGAGGAAGGAGAAGUCGUAACAAGGUUUCC
rnacentral:rRNA from 1 species